CCUACGGGCGGCAGCAGUGGGGAAUAUUGGACAAUGGGGGGAACCCUGAUCCAGCGACGCCGCGUGAGUGAAGAAGUAUUUCGGUAUGUAAAGUUCUAUCAGCAGGGAAGAAAGAAAUGACGGUACCUGACUAAGAAGCCCCGGCUAACUACGUGCCAGCAGCCGCGGUACUACGUAGGGGGCAAGCGUUCUCCGGAUUUACUGGGGGUAAAGGGAGCGUAGACGGCGAUGCAAGUCUGAAGUGAAAGGCGGGGGCCCAACCCCCGGACUGCUUUGGAAACUGUAUGGCUGGAGUGCAGGAGAGGUAAGUGGAAUUCCUAGUGUAGCGGUGAAAUGCGUAGAUAUUAGGAGGAACACCAGUGGCGAAGGCGGCUUACUGGACUGUAACUGACGUUGAGGCUCGAAAGCGUGGGGAGCAAACAGGAUUAGAUACCCCUGUAGUC
rnacentral:rRNA from 1 species